CACCAACCAACUUACUUAAAUUCUGAAUUUUUUGAAGGACCCAAUUCGAAGGUGGGGGUUCAACUUCAAUCGCAUUCGCUUUCGUUGUUGUGUGCCUGACGAUACUCCAAAUGAUCACAUGGAUACCCCUCUACUUCCUCUAUCUGCUCGAUAUCCCUAUCCGUUCCUUUUUGCUUAGCGCCAUCUGCCCACAACACCGGAGCUUUGUCGGUCUCUAAUUUCUUUUCUUUUAGGGGCUUAGAAUGCCUUCUGUUAUAUAUGUUCCCUACGAUGAUUCUCGAACAUGUCGCCUUGUGCUCUUUCAAUACUGUAGAGGCUAAUCCCUAUGCCAAAACUUGUCCCAUCCCUUGCUCAACUGAUAAUGGUCCAUCAGCCGGCGACGUCGUGUCCAUCAUUCCUAGUGUCUUUGACUCCAAAUUCACCAUCUUUGGCUCCCCUCCGUUAGACCAAGGUCUCGCCUUCCGAUUUGCUCCAGUUCUCGAGUUAUUAUCCUCUAUAUCUUUAGUAAGGCCUACUUUCGCUGAUAGCUCCUUAGGACUCAAUCGUUCUUCAUCCACGCCCAUCCCACACUUGUGAAGCAUCUUGGGAGCCGCUACAAACCCACAUCCUACCAGCCUAAGUAAUUCAUCCAACUCUCCUUUAAAUGACUGGACACGAGCCCUUAAUUCGACGGUAUUCAAUAAGGCAGCAUAUCUGGACCUUCUGCAUAUGCUGCCUUAGACUUAGGCAUCAUACUAUUACCUUCACUUCACUCACAAUAACUACCUUCUCCUAUCACAUUAGCACCCUUUGAUCAACAUUCUGCGAGGCCUGUAUGUUUGUCGUAACUUUGGCAUAGGUCAUCCCUUGUCGAUUUCGAUCGUUCACUGUUUGACGGUUGGCCUUAGUUUAGCAACAAAUGAAUCAACUACUGCUUGAAACACCCGCGAGAUUGAUGCCCAUCUUUCUUCAUGCGCACCUUUUGGUACCAUCACAACUCCCUUUCGACGCUUCUUCCCAUAUUGUGCUAUCGUUAAGUACCUCCCACGGCUGUUCACACAACAUUGUGCUAAGAAAGCUCUUGAUGACUCAUUGAACUUCGAGACGAAAUUCUUCAACCUACUAGUUUCCCUCAACUUGUCCACUAUAUUCACCAUCCAAAGUGCACCGAACCUUUCCAUACAGAUUGCAUUCAAUAUCUUCGAGCCCCACUCAGUCAUCCAAAACAAUAUCGAGAUUGUUAACAAAAAUUGCAAACUCCUUCGCCUCCACUCGAAAACGAUGAUUGAAUACCAUGCUGUAUCCAUCCACUAACUGUCUC
rnacentral:lncRNA from 1 species